GGGGUUGGGGCUCAGUGGUAGAGCACUUGCCUAGCAUGAGGCACUGGGUUCGAUCCCCAGCACCA
rfam:Ictidomys tridecemlineatus contig047294, whole genome shotgun sequence.